GCCAGUAGCCAUAUCACAACUAGCAACCAACUGAAGCUAAGCAGGUGUGAGCUUGGUCAUUACCUGGAUGGAAGACCUCCUGGGAAGAACUAAGGUUGCUGCUGGAA
rnacentral:rRNA from 1 species